rnacentral:rRNA from 1 species
CACGUAGGGGGCGAGCGUUGUCCGGAUUUAUUGGGCGUAAAGAGCUCGUAGGCGGCUCAGUAAGUCAGGUGUGAAAACUCCAGGCUCAACCUGGAGACGCCACCUGAUACUGCUGUGGCUAGAGUCCGGUAGGGGAGCAUGGAAUUCCUGGUGUAGCGGUGAAAUGCGCAGAUAUCGGAAGGAACACCGGUGGCGAAAGCGGCGCGCUGGAUCCCUACUGACGCUGAGGCACGAAAGCCAGGGGAGCGAACGGG